AAGGCUUCCUGAUCAACAGUCAAGUUCUUUGUAGUUAGUGGUUUUGUGUUUCAGUGCCAGCAAAGCUUUUUCAGAUUGGCAUGUCUCAUGUUGGAGGGAAUGUGCAUGGCAGUUGUAGACUACUCAAGUGACACCUGAGGAACAGGGAGGGUUAGAUGGGAGAAACUCACGAACUUCCCAUGUGAAGUCUGUAUCUGCUCAAGACUGAGACCAGUGAGCCAGCAUCACUUCAUUGGAGACAGUGUUUCUACAAAGGACUGAGAGACAGCAAGUACAGAAUCAAAAACAAGAUGACAAUUCCAAACCAUAUGCUGGUUUUAAUCCAGGACCCUAGGUCUGAAAGGAGCCAACUGAAAAUAUUUAUUGGCACUUGUUUGGACUGAAGGCAAACCCGGAGUCCUGUAUGCCUCCUGGAAGUGUCCUCCCCCAGUGGCUAGAAACAAAACAGACAAAUACUGCAGGAAUGCACUGAAUGAAAUCACUGAGCACAUUAGGGAACAUAGAGUACACUGAAGAACAUGAAGCAAUAGUUAGAGAACUUGUUGCAAGAAUAGGAAUACUUCUGGGACAUUUCAAAACAGUAUUGUUCUUUCAAAAGAACUGUUUAGAACUAUAUGGGUUAUCAGUAGUGGUCUGUUAUGUUGUAAAUUCAGAAACCAUGCAUUUGGAUUAGAAUCAGGAUUCAGUUAGUAGUUGAGGUAAAAGAAAGACUUUUGAAUUCUGAACCUUCUAAACCUCUAGAAAUGCUCACAAGAUCAAAAGGAGGCGAUUUUAGGGAAGAUCAUAAUCCAAAGAGGUUUCCUCCUUUUGCAAGAGACUGGGAUAUGCAGAAAAUGGCAUGUUCUUUGCACAAAAGAGGUAGAAGGAGCAACAGUGAGAAAAGGAAUGCAGGCCUGGUCUGGACAUGUGGGGCAAGCUGUCUCCCCAGAUGUUUUCUAUUGCAAUUUGGGAAGUAUUUACCUUCUUGUCACCAGCUGGUGUACAGGUCCAGUCAGGGUUUGGUGCCUUCUUUAAAUGUGUCCCGUGGACCCAAGAGUCCAUUCCCUGGGAUUUGGCAGCACAAGGUUUGGUUAGCAGUAUGUGAUAAGGGCCUCUCAAGGGAGGUUGAAGAGAAUCUCUGUGGAGGUGUCUUUUCCAAUGGAGAGACUCUCCAGGUUGCAAGGUGUGAUGAUCAAGGGAGUAAGUUGUGUCACUCUCCGUGGAAUGAAGAUCAAGCCGGGUUCCAUCGGGAAAGGCAUCCCCUCCUUCGACGUCCAGGGCUCCUCCCCCCAUUUAUUCUCACCAGUGUCACACAAAUAGUCAGGUACUGUGUGGGUGGGGCCGGCGUGUUGGGGUGGCCCUGCAGGUUGGGAUCCACAGGCCUGUUGCUCCAGAUCAUUGACGACAAGGGCAACAGCCUGCCGUUCAACACUGAAGGCAACAUUGGCAUCAGGAUGAAGCCCACCAAGCCCAUUGGCCUCUUCAUGGGCUAUGAAGACAACCCAGUAAAGACAGCCAAAGUGGAGUGUGGGGACUUUUACAACUCUGGAGAUAGAGCAACUAUGGAUGAAGAGGGCUACAUCUGGUUCCUGGGGAGGAACGAUGACAUCAUCAAUGCCUCUGGGGACGAGGUGACCCUCCAAAACAUGAGACUUGAGGGCUUGGGUCACCCGGCCCUGGCAGCCACUCAGAAGCCAAGAAGGAGCCCGCAGGUACCGCGUCGGGCCCGCAGAGGUGGAGAAUGCCCUGGCCGAACACCCGGCUGUGGCUGAAUCAGCUCUGGUGAGCAGCCUGGACCCAAUUCGAAGGGAGGUGGUGAAGGCAUUUAUUGUCCUGACUCCGGAAUUCCUCUCCCAUGACCGGGACCAGCUCACCAAGGAGCUACAGCAGCAUGUGAAGUCAGUGCCAGCCCCGUAUGGAAUUUGUCUCAGAGCUGCCCGAAACCGUCACUGGCAAGAUUAAAAGAAGUGACCUUCGGAAAAAGGAGUUUGGUCAGAUGUAAUCAGCAAAACCCUCAGAAACCACUGUGUCUUCUUUGCCAAAUCCCUGGCUGCCUCAGUUUCCUCACUAUGGGGAGGGUGAGGAGGGGAGUGUUGGACAUUGAUUUUAAGAGCAUCAGGAGUGCUCACAUUGCAGCAUUUUUGUUCUUUUAAAUUACUAUCCAUUACUCUCCUGCUUCCAAGUCCCCGAGUGAGCGCCCAGGAUGUAGCUGGGGUAAUAAAGGGACAUGAGCAUCCAAGGGGACUUGUGUUGUGCUUUGAUUCUGUGAAUGAACCAGAGCUAAAUGCGGUCCCUCCAUGAUUCUCCCCAAGCCCCAUUGGAGAGGACUCUGGGGCCAGAUUCUCCCCCCUGGUUCCAGGGGCCCUGGGUGACUCCUGUUGUCUGUUCAACAACCACAACACAGAGGUCUGGGGAGGGACCCUUCCUUGGCCCCAGGUGUCCACCUCUGCCUGGCUUGCCCAUGCCCUGCUGGAGGGUGAGGUCAGGGCCAAGCUAGUGAGGUGGCUGGGGAAGGGGGAAGGCACCGAGGGCAGCCCAGCCUGGUGGUUCCACCUGCCUGCCAGACCAUUCCUCACCGCUCCAUCCAGCAUGCCAUGGACCCGCUGCCUCUGUAUGGUGCUGCUUCCAGGUCCCAGCCUGCACCAGCUUAGGUGUGGGAGGGAUCUGCCCUGUGGGGACCCAGGAAACCUGCAAGACUCCUCCAGCCCUUUCCGGGGUGCCCAAUCCCCCAUGCCUUCCAUGGAGCCCAGGAGCUCCGUUCCCCAGCCCUCCGUAGGGCCCCCCAAUCACUCACCCUUCCCCAGGGCCCAGGAAUCCCUCAGCCUCCCCAGGGGCCCGGAGCUCUCCCCACACUUUAUGAGGUCCUCCUGCCAUCUGUAGCCCGAGAGAUGAUGUGUGCAAAGGGCAGGGCUUAGCACAGGCCUGAAACAGGAGGGACCUCUGGUUGUCACCAGUGUUGCUUUGAACAGCUGUGAGACGUGAGGCACCGGAUCUGGGAAGGCACUUGCCCCAUGGAGAUGAUGAUGCUAAUGUCCACAGGUGCUCAGCACGGGGCUUCCUCUUGUCCUCAGCACAGUUAUGGACACAGGCUUGGACGCCCCAGCUCACUGAAGGAAAGCAGCCCAGGGUCACAGAGCUGGUAAGCAGCACAGCUGGAUCUCACACUCUAGGCUCCCGGCCCUGUUUCCAGGGGCCACGAAGGGCUUCGUAGACAGGAGGCUGACACUGGCUUUGGGGACACUUCCUCACCUCCACGAGUGAUCUCACCUGUUCGAGGCCCCCAAACUCUGUUCACUGCUUCUUCUUCCCUGCUCCCUGUUCCAGUUAUAAUCAGGGUGACCCCGGCCAUCCUUCCUGGAAUUCCCUAGUCCCCCUUAUAGGCUGGGCCUAUAUAUAUAUAGUCUGACUCCACCCCUUCUGUAGCUGGUCUCUCCUUCUAUAACCAGGACCACCCGACUCUGGGGCUCUGGAGGCGGCAGCAGCUUCUAAACAGAAUUUAAUACAAAUGUUUUGCUAUCCUUGUUUUGUUUUUGUUUGCGUGUCUUUUAUGGCUUCUUUAUAUUUUAUGGCUAAUUAUAUAAAUAUAUUUAUAUUUAUGUUAAAGAUACUGUGUUCC